rnacentral:rRNA from 1 species
AGACCGAUAGCGAACAAGUAGAGUGAUCGAAAGAUGAAAAGUACUUUGGAAAGAGAGUCAAAAAGCACGUGAAAUUGUUGAAAGGGAAGCGCUUGCAGCCAGACUUGCCCGCAGUUGCUCACCUAGGCUUUGGCCUGGGGCACUCUUCUGCGGGCAGGCCAGCAUCAGUUUGGGCGGUCGGACAAAGGCCUCUGUCAAGUAUCUCCCUUCGGGGUGACCUUAUAGGGGAGGCGUAAUGCGACCAGCCCGGACUGAGGUCCGCGCAUCUGCUAGGAUGCUGGCGUAAUGGCUGUAAGCGGCCCGUCUUGAAACACGGACCAAG